rnacentral:lncRNA from 1 species
GCCUGGCAAAGUCACAGGAAGUAUCUCCAUGGCACCGCAUCAGCCCUCACAGAGCAGGAAACCUUGAUUUCUACAGAGGCUGUUUCCUCCCAGCCUUGUGCAAGGCCCACUGCAGAGACAAAAUUAUGGUGGCCAAAGUGUGAAUGCCAAGGCCACACUGGCCUCCAUCCCUGGGAUUUGCUGGUAGAAGAAAGGGAAUCAGCGCUGACUGAGCUCCUACUAUGUGCCCUUCCUGGGCCUGGCACUGGAAUCACAGGAUGAAUGAAUAAGGCAUAUUUCCUGCCCUGAGGAGGCGUCUAUAGGGGAAGUCGGAAUUAAGGCACCUCCAGAAUUCUGAGGUCAAGGGAAUGUCAACAGAGCUGUGAACAAAAUGCCCAAAGCCAUGAAAAUCUACAGAGAGAGACUCGAAGGGGAGGAAUGGGGUAGGAGCUGGUGCCGAGGAUGAGAGGGGAGAAUUCACCUGGUGGAGAACUGAUAGGCCAGGCUGAGGUCGGGAUGGUGGAGGAGGUGGUGGAGGUGAUGAGGUACCAGAGCAACCUCGAAGAAAGCUGAGAGGCAGGAGACCGCCAAAGGCAAACUUGGAACACCUGGUGACUCCGACUAACUCUCCAUGUGGUGUCCUUGAGGACUUUUAUGAUACUGCUACCACUGCUAAUAGUAAUAAAAGCCACUAUUUAAUGUGUUUACUAUGCGCUGGGUGUGCAAAUAUUGUGGAAAGAGUGAACAUAUGUGCAGAAUGCUUAAUAAACGUGAUCUCCUUUUAUCUUCAAAAAAAAA